UACGGAGGGAGCAAACGUUGUUCGGAUUUACUGGGCGUAAAGGGUGAGUAGGCGGUCUUGUAAGUCAGGGGGGAAAUCUCUCGGCUCAACCGAGAAACUGCCUUUGAGACUGCAGGACUUGAGGGCGUGAGAGGAGACUGGAAUUCCUAGUGUAGCGGUGAAAUGCAUAGAUAUUAGGAGGAACACCAGUGGCGAAGGCGAGUCUCUGGCACGCAUCUGACGCUGAACCACGAAAGCCAGGGGAGCGAACGGG
rnacentral:rRNA from 1 species